GGACACGUGGUAUCCUGUCUGAAUAUGGGGGGACCAUCCUCCAAGGCUAAAUACUCCUGACUGACCGAUAGUGAACCAGUACCGUGAGGGAAAGGCGAAAAGAACCCCGGCGAGGGGAGUGAAAAAGAACCUGAAACCGUGUACGUACAAGCAGUGGGAGCACCCUUUGGGUGUGACUGCGUACCUUUUGUAUAAUGGGUCAGCGACUUAUAUUCUGUAGCAAGGUUAACCGAAUAGGGGAGCCGGAGGGAAACCGAGUCUUAACCGGGCGUUAAGUUGCAGGGUAUAGACCCGAAACCCGGUGAUCUAGCCAUGGGCAGGUUGAAGGUUGGGUAACACUAACUGGAGGACCGAACCGACUAAUGUUGAAAAAUUAGCGGAUGACCUGUGGCUGGGGGUGAAAGGCCAAUCAAACCGGGAGAUAGCUGGUUCUCCCCGAAAGCUAUUUAGGUAGCGCCUCGUGAAUUCAUCUCCGGGGGUAGAGCACUGUUUCGGCUAGGGGGCCAUCCCGGCUUACCAACCCGAUGCAAACUGCGAAUACCGGAGAAUGUUAUCACGGGAGACACACGGCGGGUGCUAACGUCCGUCGUGAAGAGGGAAACAACCCAGACCGCCAGCUAAGGUCCCAAAGUCAUGGUUAAGUGGGAAACGAUGUGGGAAGGCCCAGACAGCCAGGAUGUUGGCUUAGAAGCAGCCAUCAUUUAAAGAAAGCGUAAUAGCUCACUGGUCGAGUCGGCCUGCGCGGAAGAUGUAACGGGGCUAAACCAUGCACCGAAGCUGCGGCAGCGACACUGUGUGUUGUUGGGUAGGGGAGCGUUCUGUAAGCCUGUGAAGGUGUGUCGUGAGGCAUGCUGGAGGUAUCAGAAGUGCGAAUGCUGACAUAAGUAACGAUAAAGCGGGUGAAAAGCCCGCUCGCCGGAAGACCAAGGGUUCCUGUCCAACGUUAAUCGGGGCAGGGUGAGUCGACCCCUAAGGCGAGGCCGAAAGGCGUAGUCGAUGGGAAACGGGUUAAUAUUCCCGUACUUGGUGUUACUGCGAAGGGGGGACGGAGAAGGCUAUGUUGGCCGGGCGACGGUUGUCCCGGUUUAAGCGUGUAGGUGUGUGUUCCAGGUAAAUCCGGUUCACUUUAACACUGAGGCGUGACGACGAGGCACUACGGUGCUGAAGCAACAAAUGCCCUGCUUCCAGGAAAAGCCUCUAAGCAUCAGGUAACAUCAAAUCGUACCCCAAACCGACACAGGUGGUCAGGUAGAGAAUACCAAGGCGCUUGAGAGAACUCGGGUGAAGGAACUAGGCAAAAUGGUG
rnacentral:rRNA from 1 species